rnacentral:rRNA from 1 species
UACGAAGGGGGCUAGCGUUGCUCGGAAUCACUGGGCGUAAAGGGCGCGUAGGCGGCCAUUCAAGUCAGAGGUGAAAGCCCAAGGCUCAACCUUGGAACUUUGCCUUUGAUACUGUUUGGCUUGAGACCGGAAGAGGUAAGUGGGAACUGCGAGUGUAGAGGUGAAAUUCGUAGAUAUUCGCAAGAACACCAGUGGCGAAGGCGGCUUACUGGUCCGGCUUCUGACGCUGAGGCGCGAAAGCGUGGGGAGCAAACAGG